rnacentral:rRNA from 1 species
UACGUAGGGGGCAAGCGUUGUCCGGAAUUAUUGGGCGUAAAGAGCGUGUAGGCGGUCCGGUAAGUCGGCUGUGAAAGUCCAGGGCUCAACCCUGGGAUGCCGGUCGAUACUGCCGGACUAGAGUUCGGAAGAGGCGAGUGGAAUUCCCGGUGUAGCGGUGAAAUGCGCAGAUAUCGGGAGGAACACCUAUGGCGAAGGCAGCUCGCUGGGACGUUACUGACGCUGAGGCGCGAAAGCGUGGGGAGCGAACAGG